rnacentral:tRNA from 1 species
CGGGCCGUAGCGCAGCUUGGUUAGCGCGCCUGCUUUGGGAGCAGGAGGUCGGGAGUUCGAAUCUCCCCGGCCCGA